GUUUAUGAUUAUUUAUAUUAAUAUGAUUAUAUAGAGUGUAAGGUUUCUGAUUAUUUAUAUGAUUAUAUAGAGUCCUGUACAUAUUAAGAAUUAUUAUUAAAUAUGAGCUAUAUUGCAAACCAUUAAAAUAUUGUUAAGUUAUAAAUCCAACAGUUGACAAAUGUCGUCAAUAGAUGUCACAGGCCAACAAAAUUACAUCGCGGUAGCGUUGUGUGUAAAAAUUAGUAUAAGAAGUCCAAAGUAAUUAUGAAUAAAGCAAGAUCAAAGCGCAUCAGUGUACAAUUGGGAGAAUAAAGCAGAGUGUGAGCAAAAUUGGCCUAUUUAAUUUAUGUCUGACACCCAAAAGGUCAGAAGCGGGAUAAAUAAGGCUCUAGAAAACUAACCUUACUACGCCCACGGAUCGGUAAAAAACUUACGCUCAUCAACUGUGACGUGGAGGACGACACUAGCCGAGGGGAAGGGUCUAGUGCUCGGCUAGUAAGAGGAAGUGGCUUAAUGAAAAAAGGAGCCCAUGUGCUUAGUCGAGGGGAAGGACUAACACAUAGGGAAUGACCAAGGAGCAUCCGAGGCUGAGGAUGUAGGUCACAUGUGCUUAGUCGAGGGGAAGGACUAACACAUGGGAGUGACCAAGGAGCAUCCAAGGCUGAGGGUGUAGGUCAACAGGGAAGGAUUGGGAGGAUGAGCUCGCGGAUAGAGCAAGGAGCAUCCGAGGUUAGGAUGUAGGGUCCAUGUGCUUAGUCGAGGGGAAGGACUAACACAUGGGAGUGACCAAGGAGCAUCCGAGGUUAAGGAUGUAGGUCAACAGGAAAGGAUUAGGAGGAUGUGCUCGAGGAUAGAGCAUGGAGCAUCCGAGGUUCAGGAUGUAGGUCGACAGGAAAGAAUUAGGAGGAGGAGCUCGAGCAUAGAGCAAUCGGUACCAUUGGAUAAAAUGGACAAGGACACGAUGAUUCGAAGAGAACGGUUGCGUGGAAAGCGAUCGAGUGAACGACGAUCGCGUAAGCAGCGGUCGAGCAGGCAACAAUCAAGCGGCUCUGACGACAGGGACGAAUACGAAAGAAGGAGAUGGAAAACAAGGACAAGGACAGGACAGAGGAGACGGCAUGUGUCUUCCUCUUCAGGAUCUGAUAUGGGGUCACCGCAGCUUCCGCGCAAGGUUAAGCGUGGUAAGGAGGACGACGGUUCAGAUACAAAGGUAUUAGUAGAUAAAUUCUUGAAUAUUCUUGACAAAAUAAAAGGUUCAGAUAAGCCCAAACUUACGUUCAACACAAAUGUUAUCCCCGAAUUUGACCCAAUGGCAAAGGAACAAACUAUCCUUACUUGGCUGACGAAAGUGGAAGAAUGUGCUCACAUAUAUGGGUGGGAAGACGGAAAUUAUCCACUAUUCCUUGCCCAAGCUUUCUGGUGUCGCUAAAACUUGGUAUCAGGGCUUAUCUAGCCUAUUAUUUUACAUGGACUGAGUGGAAACAAAAACUUAUAGAAUCUUUUCCCCAAAGCGAGAACUAUGCUGAGUUAUUGCAUAAAAUGUUAGCAAAAACAGUUAGAUACGGUGAGUCGUUUGAACAUUACUAUUAUGCGAAAAUGAACUUGUUAAAUCGUUGCAAAAUUUAUGGCAAGGAAGUGGUAGACUGUUUGCUGUACGGGGUUGAAGAUCGUGCCGUUAAAGUGGGUGCUCAAGCCGCUCAAUUUAAGCGACCUGAGCAAGUGCUCAAAUACUUUAGAACCGUGAAGAUAGGCAAAGUUCGUGACUCCAUUAACGAUGCCAACCUGAAAAAAACAAAUCAAUCUGGCACGAGCAGGGCGGGCCCUAGUAAUAACGGAAUCCGUUGCUUCAAUUGCAAUGAAAUAGGUCACCCUAGCUUUAAAUGUACAAAACUUAUCGCGAAGUGUACGACCUGCGGGAGGAUUGGUCAUUAGGCGAUUAACUGUUUAAAAAAUAAAACUCCGAUUAAUAAAGACGAUAGUCAGGCCUUAGAUAAAAAUAAUGAACAAAAACAAGUAUCUAAUGUAACUGUCGAUGAUCGCGCUAUUGAUAAAUAUAUACUGGAUAUAAAGAUUAACAACUCAGGGGUCAAGUGUCAUGUAGAUUUAGGGAGUCAAUGUUCGUUAAUUAGACAGAGUACCGCUAAGGAGUUGAACCUGAAUAUCGAUGUGAGGGAAGGUAUGCCGGUAUUAAGAGGAAUAGGAGGAAACCUGACUUGCCCUUUAGGUGUAGCUACCGUGAGUGUAGAAGUUCAAGGAUUAAAAGAAACUAUUGAAAUAUAUGUAGUAGAAGAUUAUGUACUAAGUUACUUGGACAUUGGCAUUACUUGGACAUUCCUUUACAGAGAAGCCUGAUAUUAUAAUGACUAAGAUUCCGACUAAGAUCGUUCUCUUUCCCGGUACGUACGAGAUAAAAGACAGCCGCACAGCGCUUCUAAUUUAUAAUGCCUCGUCAAACAAGAUUUGUAUCAAGAAGGACACUCUUAACACGAGCACUGCGUAAUACGCAUCGAACACCUUUUUCCCAAUCUUGUAGCGUUCUUACCGAUAGGGGACUGGAUGAAGAGAUCAGUUGCAAUCCUGAGCUAACAAAACAGCAACGCGAAGAACUACACUUCUCAAGUGGACUCAAGGACCUUGGGUUUACCAACAUCACUGAGAUGGUAAUCGACCUUAACGACACGGAACCAGUCGUGUAUCGCCCAUGCCGUAUGUCACAUACUGAGCGACAAUUAGUAAGAGGCAUGGUUAAGGAGAUGGUAGAUAAUGGUAGAGCUAGGGAGUCAUCUUCAUCAUAUGCCAGUCCUAUAGUCCUGGUACAAAAAAAAAGAAUAGUGAGAAACGAUUCUAUGUGGACUAUCGAGCUCUAAACAGAAAGCCCAAAAAGGAACACUACCCCCUACCAAGAGUCGAGGAUCAGUUGGACCUAUUAUCCGGUAACACCCUAUUUACGUCAUUGGACCUUGCUUCCGGGUACUAUCGAACACCAGUCGCCGAGGCCUCCCGUAGUAAAACUGCCUUUGUAACACCUGAUGGGCAGCAUGAAUACAACCGCAUGCCUUUCGGACUAGUUAAUGCACCAUCUGUGUUCCAAAGGACAAUCCAUAAAAUAUUAAAGGAGGCCCAAAUUAAAUAUGCUGUUGUCUACAUGGAUGACAUACUGAUACCAUCCAAGGAUUUUAGGGAAGGCAUCCAAAGACUAGGCGAAGUUCUCACACUGAAAUUAAGUAAGUGCUAUUUCUUUUUGAAUGUCAUAGACUUUCUAGGGUUUGAAGUGACUGCUAAUGGUAUCCGCCCAGGUAGAAGUCCGAAACCGAGCUACAUACGGAGGCUUGCAAAGAAGGCCUAGCGGGCAUUUUACUGCAGCGUAACUGUAAUGGUGCAUUGCAACCAGUGUCCUACUUCAGCAGGAAAACUACCGCUGACGAACGCAAGUUUCAUUCGUACGAGCUCGAAACUUUGGCAGUCAUUGCAUCUCUCAAUCGGUUAAGAGUUUAUUUAGUGGGAAUACCAUUUAAAAUCUUGACCAAUUGCAAUGCACUCAGGUCCACUCUAACUAAACGUGACUUGAUACCUCGCAUAGCUAGGUGGUGGGUCCAACUUCAGAAGUACGACUGUACAAUCGAGUACCGGCCUGGUGUUAGCAUGGCACACGCGGAUGCCCUAAGCAGAAACCCAGUGAAUUCUUCUUCAGGUAACACAUGUACUAGAUGUUUUACAAAUACAGCAAAUCGAACAGGACUGGAUUGCGACGGUACAAAAUGCAGAUGACGAGAUAAAUAAAAUCAAAAGGAUUCUUUCUGACCCUUCAUCGGCGGAGGUAGCGGACAUACACAAAAACUACAGACUGAAGAAUGACCGUGUUUACCGCGUGGUAGGUGACAAAAUAAAAUGGCUGGUACCCAAAAGUGUACGCUGGCAAAUUUUAAAAAUGAACCACGAUGACGUUGGCCAUUGUGGUUUUGAAAGAGCCCUACAGCGCAUCCGAGGCCAUUAUUGGUUCGCGAAAAUGCGGCGUCUCGUCCGGAAGUAUGUUACCUCCUGCCUUGAGUGCGCGUACCACAAAGCUCCAGGUGAUAAACGAGAAGGAGAACUCCACCCAAUCGAAAAGAUAAAGGUACGAGUUUCACCAGUAAGACGUUCCAAGAUUUUACGACCUCUUACGGGAUCAAACAUAUUGUAAAUGCCGUUGCAACGCCUCGAGCAAACGGGCAAGUAGAAAGGUUUAAUAGAACGAUUUUAGAUGCUCUAUCGACAGCCAAUCACGGCGGCGACAAGUCGUGGGACAACCACAUCACUGAUAUACAGGUUGGUAUGAACACAGCUCGACAUAAAACUACCCAAAAGAGCCCCUCUGAGCUACUAUUUGGAGUUAACAUAAUUAGUAGUACGGAAAGCAUACUUAGUACGGUAAUCAAUGACACUCUAAAUAGGACUCCCAUUGAGGAAUUGGCGGAAGUCAGACAACAGGCUAGAAGUUAAAGAUGCAGUCAAUUUUAAUAAGCAUAGGAAACCAGCGAGGCAGUACCAAGAAGGGGAUUUAGUACGCUUAGCAAGGCAGGCUCCGCACGAUGGAAAAUCUCAAAAGCUCUCUGUUAAGUACCAAGGUCCUUAUCGUAUACUAAAGGUUCUUCGCAAUGAUAGGUUCGUGGUAGAAGAUGACUCGCAAAAAGGUAGAAGGUAUGAAGCAGUUGUAUCUAUUGAUAAGAUUCAGCCUUGGAUGUCGUUCUGUAGAGAAUUAGAGUCUGAUGAAUCUAGUAAUAGUGUUGAUGACAGUGAUUAGAUACUUGAUUACUCAGUUUAUGUUGGACAUUUAGUUACUUAAGAAAGAAAUUGUUAUUUUAAUUAUUAUUUUGAUAGAACUUAAAACCAUGGAAACGAUUUAGCGAUAGAUAUGUGUAUGUACUUAGUAUUUAUAGCAAAAAAAUGUUUAAAAAAAAAUGUUACACGUCAUAUAUAAACCUAGUGUAUAAUUAAUUGCAUUUAUUAUUAUUAUUAUUUUGUAACACAUAUAUUUUGUUUUUUUUUCUUUCUUGAUCUCAAAGCGAAGGGUCUCGCUUUAGGUAGGAUGGCCGAGCUGUAAGGUUUAUGAUUAUUUAUAUUAAUAUGAUUAUAUAGAGUGUAAGGUUUCUGAUUAUUUAUAUGAUUAUAUAGAGUCCUGUACAUAUUAAGAAUUAUUAUUAAAUAUGAGCUAUAUUGCAAACCAUUAAAAUAUUGUUAAGUUAUAAAUCCAACAGUUGACAAAUGUCGUCAAUAGAUGUCACAGGCCAACAAAAUUACAUCGCGGUAGCGUUGUGUGUAAAAAUUAGUAUAAGAAGUCCAAAGUAAUUAUGAAUAAAGCAAGAUCAAAGCGCAUCAGUGUACAAUUGGGAGAAUAAAGCAGAGUGUGAGCAAAA